rnacentral:rRNA from 1 species
CCUACGGGAGGCUGCAGUGGGGAAUAUUGCGCAAUGGGCGAAAGCCUGACGCAGCGACGCCGCGUGAGGGAUGAAGGUCUUCGGAUCGUAAACCUCUGUCAGCAGGGAAGAACGGUCACUGUGCUAAUCAGCAGUGAAUUGACGGUACCUGCAAAGGAAGCACCGGCUAACUCCGUGCCAGCAGCCGCGGGAAGACGGAGGGUGCGAGCGUUAAUCGGAAUUACUGGGCGUAAAGCGCUCGUAGGCGGGAUGGCAAGUCAAGGGUGAAAUCCCCGCGCUCAACGUGGGAACUGCCUUUGAAACUGGCAAACUUGAGUGUGUGAGAGGAUAGUGGAAUGCCAGGUGUAGGAGUGAAAUCCGUAGAUAUCAGGAGGAACACCGGUGGCGAAGGCGGCCUGCUGGACUGCAACUGACGUUGAGGCCCGAAAGCGUGGGGAGCAAACAGGAUUAGAUACCCGAGUAGUC